rnacentral:misc_RNA from 1 species
GAUUGAAGAACGUAGCGAAAUGCGAUAAGUAAUGUGAAUUGCAGAAUUCAGUGAAUCAUCGAAUCUUUGAACGCACAUUGCGCCCGCCAGUAUUCUGGCGGGCAUGCCUGUUCGAGCGUCAUUACAACCCUCAGGCCCCCGGGCCUGGCGUUGGGGAUCGGCGGAAGCCCCCUGUGGGCACACGCCGUCCCUCAAAUACAGUGGCGGUCCCGCCGCAGCUUCCAUUGCGUAGUAGCUAACACCUCGCAACUGGAGAGCGGCGCGGCCAUGCCGUAAAACACCCAACUUCUGAAUGUUGACCUCGAAUCAGGUAGGAAUACCCGCUGAACUUAAGCAUAUCAAUAAGCGGAGGA